UAUCCAUCAUCUCCAAAUGACCAUUUCUUUCAUAAAUUUUAAUUUGAUUCACAAUUUAAUUAUCUUUCAUUUCUGAUGCAAUGCAAUAAUAUGCAUGUGCAAAUGGUGCACUCGCUUGUCUUCGUUCCAUAUAUUCUCCAUUGAAAAUCUUAAAUGGAUUGUCAUUUAAAAAAAUUGUAAAAUUUGUUUCUCAAGAUUUUCAAAAAGAUCGAAAACGAGAAGCUUUGAUACUCCCAUCACGGAUAAUGAAAAUUAGGCGAAAAUACACGUGAACACGUGUUUGUAUUCUUAAUAAUAUUCUAUGAAUAUAUAAAUCUCAAUGAAAAAUUUAUAAAACGUGAUUAUGAAUAACAUUUUACGUACACAUGCAUUCCCAUACUGAAAGACAGAAUAAAAGCUUCGAAAUAAAACAUAAGAAUUUGAAAAAAAUAUAAAUUAUUGUCUCAUAUGAAGUAUAUCUAUUCAGCUUCAAAUUAUCGGCUGUUUCUCAUAGUUUAUCAUUAUUAUAAUCAUACGAUAGCGAUUUCGAAGAUAGUGUUUUUCACUAAAUAAAAAAAAAAAAA